rnacentral:rRNA from 1 species
AUUAGCGGCGGACGGGUGAGUAACACGUGAGUAACCUGCCUUAGACAUUGGGAUAGCCUCGGGAAACCGGGAUUAAUACCAAAUAAAAUCAUAAUGACACAUGUCAUAACGAUCAAAACUCCGGUGGUCUAAGAUGGACUCGCGUCCCAUUAGCUAGUUGGUAGAGUAAAAGCCUACCAAGGCGACGAUGGGUAGCCGGCCUGAGAGGGUGAACGGCCACAUUGGAACUGAGAAACGGUCCAA